CUCCAUAUUUAUUGGUGUACUUGAGAUUAACUCAGAUAUUUCAUGAAAGCCCUUUGACCGAUUACACAGGACUUCAAAACAAAUCUGCUGGUGCAAAGCAAACUGGGAGAGAAAACAAACGAGCAGCCCAGACCCAGAAAUUAGUGUGCCUUUGGACAGAGAGGGAGAAAGUUGAACAGAUUCACCAAAGCAGAGGUAUAGCCAUUUUUUUUAACUUGCAUCGGUGAAUCAA